rnacentral:rRNA from 1 species
GACGAACGCUGGCGGCGUGCCUAAUACAUGCAAGUAGAACGCUGAAGGAGGAGCUUGCUUCUCCGGAUGAGUUGCGAACGGGUGAGUAACGCGUAGGUAACCUGCCUGGUAGCGGGGGAUAACUAUUGGAAACGAUAGCUAAUACCGCAUAACAGUAGAUAUUGCAUGAUAUCUGCUUGAAAGGUGCAAAUGCAUCACUACCAGAUGGACCUGCGUUGUAUUAGCUAGUUGGUGGGGUAACGGCUCACCAAGGCGACGAUACAUAGCCGACCUGAGAGGGUGAUCGGCCACACUGGGACUGAGACACGGCCCAGACUCCUACGGGAGGCAGCAGUAGGGAAUCUUCGGCAAUGGACGGAAGUCUGACCGAGCAACGCCGCGUGAGUGAAGAAGGUUUUCGGAUCGUAAAGCUCUGUUGUAAGAGAAGAAUGAGUGUGAGAGUGGAAAGUUCACACUGUGACGGUAUCUACCAGAAAGGAC